rnacentral:lncRNA from 1 species
AUUGCCCACAGUCAUCUUGUCCAAAAGAGAGGAUAAAAGUCAGCAGGUUGAAUUUUUUCCAAACUUCAGCUUGCAGCCUACAGCAUCUUGGAUCCUCAGCUACUUCAGCCGAAACUCAAGAAGACUGUCUUCACAGAGUCAAAGUGAAAAAAGAGUAGAGCAGACAGGGACAGCGGUCACUGCACAAAAUCAGCAGACUGCCAGGGCAGCCCCAUGUCUCUUCAGAACGUUGGGACAAACUAAAGUCGGUCUCAGGAAGAAACUGCUUCUCAUGUUCUCAUAAGAAAUUCUCCAAUUUGAAUAUUCAGCAGGAGAAGAAGGCUGACUGAAUACUUAGAUUUAACAACAAUGGUUAAACAUAUUCCUUUCUUAUGAUUCUGCUCCAUCUUUCUAAGAGUAAUUCAGUGUCAACAGCAACGGUGGUGGAGAGGAGUCACACUUUCCUCACCUUUAAUUGUAAAGUAAUUCAGAAAAAGAAAGAAAUUCUACUAGUCAUUAUGUGGAUGAAAGAAACAUGGAACUUGUGAAGUGAAGCAGCAGUACCAGCCUACCAUCAUGUUUGCACACAGCGCCUCCAACAUCCCUGCCAUGUACAUCUUCCCUCCACUUUAUCUUUCCCUGUUGAGAUUCUAUUCAUUCUCCAAGGCUCAGUCCAAAUGCCACAUCCUCCCUAAUUUUCUGGUAUGAAUGUCCCAUUCCUCUUAUGUUUCCUUGGUGUGUUGCUAAUAUUUCUUUUAGAACUCUGGCAGCAAUGCAUUAAUUAAAAGAACACUUAUGGAGUACCACUUUGUACUUGGUGCAAGAGUUGACUGUGAUAAGGUCUAUCUCUCCCUGAGAAUAGAGUCUUUGU